AUGGCCGUAUCGCGUUUAAACACCGGUUCCCGAACGAUCACAGAAGUUAAUCAACGUUGUGCCUAAUCAGUACCUCGAUAGGUGACCUCUUGGAAAUACCAGGUGCUGUAA